rnacentral:snRNA from 1 species
GUGCUUGCUUCAGUAGCACAUAUACUAAAACUGGAAUGAUACAGAGAAGAUUAGCAUGGCCCCUGCACAAGGAUGACAUGCAAGUUCGUGAAGCAUUCCAUAUUUUA